rnacentral:rRNA from 1 species
GGCGAGUGAAGCGGCAACAGCUCAAAUUUGAAAGCUAGCCUUCGGGUUCGCAUUGUAAUUUGUAGAGGAUGAUUUGGGGAAGCCGCCUGUCUAAGUUCCUUGGAACAGGACGUCAUAGAGGGUGAGAAUCCCGUAUGUGACAGGAAAUGGCACCCUAUGUAAAUCUCCUUCGACGAGUCGAGUUGUUUGGGAAUGCAGCUCUAAAUGGGAGGUAAAUUUCUUCUAAAGCUAAAUAUUGGCGAGAGACCGAUAGCGCACAAGUAGAGUGAUCGAAAGAUGAAAAGCACUUUGGAAAGAGAGUUAAAAAGCACGUGAAAUUGUUGAAAGGGAAGCGCUUGCAAUCAGACUUGUUUAAACUGUUCGGCCGGUCUUCUGACCGGUUUACUCAGUUUGGACAGGCCAGCAUCAGUUUCGGCGGCCGGAUAAAGGCUCUGGGAAUGUGGCCUCCACUUCGGUGGAGGUGUUAUAGCCCAGGGUGUAAUACGGCCAGCCGGGACUGAGGUCCGCGCUUCGGCUAGGAUGCUGGCGUAAUGGUUGUAAGCGACCCGUCUUGAA